GCUCUGGUGGCCUAGUGGUUAGAGAAUCCGCCGCGGAUGCGGGAAGUCGCGUGUUCGAUCCUCGUUCGAGUCACAGCA